GGGGAAUUAGCUCAAAUGGUAGAGCGCUCGCUUAGCAUGUGAGAGGCAGGGGGAUCGAUACCCUGAUUCUCCA